rnacentral:lncRNA from 1 species
UUCACUCUGAUAACUCCCCCCAUGACUCGAGGGAGCAGGAAUGCAUAUUUCCGAGGUGCCGCUGCUUUGCCUCGUGGCUGUGACGGGCUCUGGAGAGAGGACAUUUCCCAGGAUCAAUCUACUGCUCGUAGGACUCUGCUCAUCACUUUCAGCUCUUGCGUAGCCCUUUUGUGCAGAUGGGAAUGGCUUUGUGCAAGAGCAACGGCCAAAGAGCAUUGUUGAAGAGUGGCAUGCACCCAAAAAGAAAGGAAACCUGGGCUCACUGCUAGAGCAGACAUGGGAAGAUCAACACUUUGGCAGCAUGAGCACACUGCAGAUCUGGAAACAGCACUAAACCUGUCCCAGCUGCACAUGGGAAAAGGGUUACAGGAGGCAUUCAAUCGCUGCAUUCUUCAGGUUUUAAUUGCUGGAGAGAUGGAGAAUUCUUUUUUCCAGGACUGUGUUUGUGUUAUAUGCAAUGAUAGGACCGUGGCAUUUGCUCUGACACACACGUGGAUGCCCUUUGCAUGGCCAUGCCUUUGUGCACACCUUUCUCUCCACACUGAGCCCGAGAACUUCUCCCAGCAAGAACCAGAAAACCUCAAGUGA